rnacentral:rRNA from 1 species
GAUGAACGCUGGCGGCGUGCCUAAUACAUGCAAGUCGAGCGAACAGAUGAGGAGCUUGCUCCUCUGACGUUAGCGGCGGACGGGCGAGUAACACGUGGAUAACCUACCUAUAAGACUGGGAUAACUUCGGGAAACCGGAGCUAAUACCGGAUAAUAUAUUGAACCGCAUGGUUCAAUAGUGAAAGACGGUUUUGCUGUCACUUAUAGAUGGAUCCGCGCCGCAUUAGCUAGUUGGUAAGGUAACGGCUUACCAAGGCAACGAUGCGUAGCCGACCUGAGAGGGUGAUCGGCCACACCGGAACUGAGACACGGUCCAGACUCCUACGGGAGGCAGCAGUAGGGAAUCUUCCGCAAUGGGCGAAAGCCUGACGGAGCAACGCCGCGUGAGUGAUGAAGGUCUUCGGAUCGUAAAACUCUGUUAUUAGGGAAGAACAAAUGUGUAAGUAACUAUGCACGUCUUGACGGUACCUAAUCAGAAAGCCACGGCUAACUACGUG